rnacentral:rRNA from 1 species
GAUGAACGCUGGCGGCGUGCCUAAUACAUGCAAGUCGAGCGAACAGACGAGGAUCUUGCUCCUCUGACGUUAGCGGCGGACGGGUGAGUAACACGUGUAUAACCUACCUAUAAGACUGGGAUAACUUCGGGAAACCGGAUCUAAUACCGGAUAAUAUAUUGAACCGCAUGGUUCUAUAGUGAAAGACGGUUUUGCUGUCACUUAUAGAUGUAUCCGCGCCGCAUUAGCUAGUUGGUAAGGUAACGGCUUACCAAGGCAACGAUGCGUAGCCGACCUGAGAGGGUGAUCAGUCACACUGGAACUGAGACACGGUCCAGACUCCUACGGGAGGCAGCAGUAGGGAAUCUUCCACAAUGGGCGAAAGCCUGACGGAGCAACGCCGCGUGAGUGAUGAAGGUCUUCGGAUCGUAAAACUCUGUUAGUAGGGAAGAACAAAAGUGUAAGUAACUAUGCACGUCUUGACGGUACCUAAAGAGUAAGCACCGGCUAACUACGUG